GGAGGGAGAGAGAGAGAGAGAGAAAAGAGAGAAAUUUCUUGAUGAUCUAUAUUAACAACCUCGUCUUACUUCAAAAGAAGAUAUCCAUCUUAGUAUUCCUCUGAUAUGAAGCUAAUUUGCAUGUAUUUAUAGCUGAACUAAGCACCCCAAAAUCCUGCAGUGCCAAGCUAAUACAAGUUAAAAUAUUAACCCAUGAAGCAUGAAAAUGCAAUAGGAGUUAAGGCAAAGCUUCUGGUAACUAAGUAUCAUGAUUAGAGAGAACAGUAAAAUUCAUAGAUUAUAUGAAGAGUGUGAUGAUCAAAGAAAACUUGGAUUGAAAGAGAAGAAAAGGUUAAAAAAGGUACUAUUUAUGUAGUGAGG
rnacentral:misc_RNA from 1 species